GAUGAGCUCAAGCUUAAAAUCUCCGUGCAAAUUUUGCAUGGCGAAUUGUAGUCUAUAGAGGCGUGAUUAGCAUAGGCACUUGGGGCAAGUUCCUUGGAAGAGGACAGCAUCGAGGGUGAUACUCCCGUUUAUCUCCGAGUUGCUUAUGCGUACAAUCCGUUUUCUUUGAGUCGCGUUGUUUGAGAAUGCAGCGCAAAGUAGGUGGUAAAUUCCAUCUAAAGCUAAAUAUUGGUGCGAGACCGAUAGCAAACAAGUACCGUGAGGGAAAGAUGAAAAGAACUUUGAAAAGAGAGUUAAAGAGUACCUGAAACUGCUGAAAGGGAACCAAAUCGUUUCCAGUGUCUAUAAUCCGUGGUAUAUUUCAUUGGCGAAUGUGUGCGUGCGUGUACUAUGGCAGCGGCUUUUUGCUGCGCCUUGUGUAUGUGUGCACUUUCUCGCUGAUGCCCUGUACCGUGGUGGGACGUCAAUGUCGGUUCGUAAAUUGCGGGAAAUGACUGCCGAGGAGGUAGGGCGAACGCUUGCGUUUGUCUGUUAUAUCUUGGCGGACGUAGUAGUCGCGGUUGGGACUGAGGUGCCUACAAUGUGCUUAUGAGUACAAUUGAUUCUCUGUGUGCGCCGUGUGCGGAUAGCUUGCUAUGCGUGUGUGGCUGC
rnacentral:rRNA from 1 species